rnacentral:rRNA from 1 species
GAGGUUGUGCCCUUGAGGCGUGGCUUCCGGAGCUAACGCGUUAAGUAGACCGCCUGGGGAGUACGGCCGCAAGGUUAAAACUCAAAUGAAUUGACGGGGGCCCGCACAAGCGGUGGAGCAUGUGGUUUAAUUCGAUGCAACGCGAAGAACCUUACCUGGUCUUGACAUCCACAGAAGAAUCCAGAGAUGGAUUUGUGCCUUCGGGAACUGUGAGACAGGUGCUGCAUGGCUGUCGUCAGCUCGUGUUGUGAAAUGUUGGGUUAAGUCCCGCAACGAGCGCAACCCUUAUCCUUUGUUGCCAGCGGUUAGGCCGGGAACUCAAAGGAGACUGCCAGUGAUAAACUGGAGGAAGGUGGGGAUGACGUCAAGUCAUCAUGGCCCUUACGACCAGGGCUACACACGUGCUACAAUGGCGCAUACAAAGAGAAGCGACCUCGCGAGAGCAAGCGGACCUCAUAAAGUGCGUCGUAGUCCGGAUUGGAGUCUGCAACUCGACUCCAUGAAGUCGGAAUCGCUAGUAAUCGUGGAUCAGAAUGCCACGGUGAAUACGUUCCCGGGCCUUGUACACACCGCCCGUCACACCAUGGGAGUGGGUUGCAAAAGAAGUAGGUAGCUUAACCUUCGGGAGGGCGCUUACCACUUUGUGAUUCAUGACUGGGGUGAAGUCGUAACAAGGUAACCGUAGGGGAACCUGCGGUUGGAUCACCUCCUUACCUGAAAGAA